UACGGAGGACCCGAGCAUUAUCCGGAUUCAUUGGGUUUAAAGGGUGCGCAGGCGGCCCGGUAAGUCAGCGGUGAAAGGCCCACGCUCCACGUGGGAGCUGCCGUUGAUACUGCCGGGCUGGAAUGUCAGCAAGGCGGGCGGAAUGCGCGGUGUAGCGGUGAAAUGCAUAGAUAUCGCGCAGAACGCCGAUUGGGGAGCCAGCUCGCCAGCUGACCAUUGACGCUGAGGCACGAAAGCGUGGGGAUCGAAC
rnacentral:rRNA from 1 species